AUAUUGAGCAUCAUGGCGGACAAAGCGGGAGACGGACCAGUUGAGGCACAAUUACAGAUGGGAGACACGGAAAAUAGUAGAGCUGAAUCAGAAGCAACCAACAAAGAAGAUGGUGAAAGUGAAAUGGCUGAGGAAGCCAUGUCUGUGGAUGACGAAGGCUCAGAAUGUUACUGUGGAAAAGGUAGAAAUCUAGGAACAGUAGAAAUUCAGUGUGGAUUCUGUUUUCGGUGGUUCCAUCAAGAUUGUAUUGGAUGUUAUCUUGGGACAGCCAUUCCUUUUAUGACAAAUUAUCAGUUUGCCUGUAGAGGGUGCAGCCCUAAUGGUUUAGAAAAUUUCACAAAAAAAGUAUCAAGUUUUCCUCAAAUUUGUUACACUGCCAUAGCCAACCUCUGUUACCAGACUGAUCCGGCCUCAGAAAAUCCACAGAUGUUCUCUAGAGAUGGGGAGAUCAUUCCAUUCAUUGAUAAACAAUGGGAGAACCUGACAACCCAGACCAGACUCAGUACAGCUCCCUGGAGUCAAACAAAAGAGAGGUGAUCUUGGACCCACUACCAAACAGGCCCCGCAUGGCUAUCCAUUGGAACAUCCAUUUAACAAAGAUGGAUACCGAUAUAUUCUGGCAGAAGCAGACCCUCACGCCCCAAACAGACAGGCUUUUGAUGAGAGUCUAGACUGGGCAGGAAAGCCUAUCCCUGGCUAUCUGUAUAGAACCUUCUUAGGAACAGAUGUACUGUUUGCACUGAAUGACAGAGCUCCACAGUUGAAGAUUUCUACUGACCGACUGAGUGUGACGGGGGAGAAGGGUUACAGCAUGGUCCGGGCCACUCAUGGGGUGAGGAGGGGAGCCUGGUAUUUUGAGGUCCUUAUUGAGGAGAUGCCACAGGAUUCUGCCACAAGAAUAGGGUGGUCACAGUCGCUAGGUAACUUACAAGCCCCCUGUGGUUAUGACAAGUUUAGUUACUCCUUUCGUUCACGGUUGGGGACAAGAUUUCACCAGAGCCGAGGGAAGCACUACUGCGACGGGGGAUACUCGGAGGGGGAUGUCCUCGGCUUCUUCAUUCAUCUACCAGAACCUGACAACCCGGGAAAACUCCUCCCAAACACAUUCAAAGACAGGCCAUUAGUAAAGUUCAAGAGUCACCUUUACUAUGAAGAGAAGGACCAUGUUGCUGAAACAGAGAAGUCCCUGAAACCAUUGAUUGGAUCUCAGAUGAUUAUGUACAAAAACGGAUCCUCACAGGGCAUAGCCUAUGAGGAUGUCUUUGAAGGAGUAUACUAUCCAGCAGUUUCCUUGUACAAAAACACCAAGGUGACCAUGAACUUUGGGCCAGACUUUAAGUGUCCUCCCCAGGGCCUCAAGGACUUCAGACCGAUGUCAGAUGCUGCAUCCCAAACAAUGGUGGAAUAUGCUCUAGCAGAUAUUAUUUACCAUGUGGAAAAUGAAGGGAAAUUGCCCGAGUUUUAAGAACAUUUUUCAAACAAUCACCAGUGCCACUGACAGAAACAUUCAGCCGAGCCCUGUCUGAACAAGUGUCCCCCUUAGCUCCUGUCGGUGUUUGCUUCACUGUAGGGCCUGAGUAUCGUAUCAACUGUAUGGGCUGAGAGCCUGCUUUAAUGAGGCUAAAUCAUACAUGCAUGGAACUGUAAAUUGUUUUUAGGAAAGUAGAGCAUUUCUUCAUAAUUUAAUGUGAAAUAAAAUGAGUAAAACAUUC
rnacentral:misc_RNA from 1 species